rnacentral:rRNA from 1 species
UGACUGCGUACCUUUUGUAUAAUGGGUCAGCGACUUAUAUUCUGUAGCAAGGUUAACCGAAUAGGGGAGCCGAAGGGAAACCGAGUCUUAACUGGGCGUUAAGUUGCAGGGUAUAGACCCGAAACCCGGUGAUCUAGCCAUGGGCAGGUUGAAGGUUGGGUAACACUAACUGGAGGACCGAACCGACUAAUGUUGAAAAAUUAGCGGAUGACUUGUGGCUGGGGGUGAAAGGCCAAUCAAACCGGGAGAUAGCUGGUUCUCCCCGAAAGCUAUUUAGGUAGCGCCUCGUGAAUUCAUCUCCGGGGGUAGAGCACUGUUUCGGCAAGGGGGUCAUCCCGACUUACCAACCCGAUGCAAACUGCGAAUACCGGAGAAUGUUAUCACGGGAGACACACGGCGGGUGCUAACGUCCGUCGUGAAGAGGGAAACAACCCAGACCGCCAGCUAAGGUCCCAAAGUCAUGGUUAAGUGGGAAACGAUGUGGGAAGGCCCAGACAGCCAGGAUGUUGGCUUAGAAGCAGCCAUCAUUUAAAGAAAGCGUAAUAGCUCACUGGUCGAGUCGGCCUGCGCGGAAGAUGUAACGGGGCUAAACCAUGCACCGAAGCUGCGGCAGCGACACUGUGUGUUGUUGGGUAGGGGAGCGUUCUGUAAGCCUGUGAAGGUGUCUGUGAGGAUGCUGGAGGUAUCAGAAGUGCGAAUGCUGACAUAAGUAACGAUAAAGCGGGUGAAAAGCCCGCUCGCCGGAAGACCAAGGGUUCCUGUCCAACGUUAAUCGGGGCAGGGUGAGUCGACCCCUAAGGCGAGGCCGAAAGGCGUAGUCGAUGGGAAACAGGUUAAUAUUCCUGUACUUGGUGUUACUGCGAAGGGGGGACGGAGAAGGCUAUGUUGGCCGGGCGACGGUUGUCCCGGUUUAAGCGUGUAGGCUGGUUUUCCAGGCAAAUCCGGAAAAUCAAGGCUGAGGCGUGAUGACGAGGCACUACGGUGCUGAAGCAACAAAUGCCCUGCUUCCAGGAAAAGCCUCUAAGCAUCAGGUAACAUCAAAUCGUACCCCAAACCGACACAGGUGGUCAGGUAGAGAAUACCAAGGCGCUUGAGAGAACUCGGGUGAAGGAACUAGGCAAAAUGGUGCCGUAACUUCGGGAGAAGGCACGCUGAUAUGUAGGUGAAGUCCCUCGCGGAUGGAGCUGAAAUCAGUCGAAGAUACCAGCUGGCUGCAACUGUUUAUUAAAAACACAGCACUGUGCAAACACGAAAGUGGACGUAUACGGUGUGACGCCUGCCCGGUGCCGGAAGGUUAAUUGAUGGGGUCAGCGCAAGCGAAGCUCUUGAUCGAAGCCCCGGUAAACGGCGGCCGUAACUAUAACGGUCCUAAGGUAGCGAAAUUCCUUGUCGGGUAAGUUCCGACCUGCACGAAUGGCGUAAUGAUGGCCAGGCUGUCUCCACCCGAGACUCAGUGAAAUUGAACUCGCUGUGAAGAUGCAGUGUACCCGCGGCAAGACGGAAAGACCCCGUGAACCUUUACUAUAGCUUGACACUGAACAUUGAGCCUUGAUGUGUAGGAUAGGUGGGAGGCUUUGAAGUGUGGACGCCAGUCUGCAUGGAGCCGACCUUGAAAUACCACCCUUUAAUGUUUGAUGUUCUAACGUGGACCCGUGAUCCGGGUUGCGGACAGUGUCUGGUGGGUAGUUUGACUGGGGCGGUCUCCUCCUAAAGAGUAACGGAGGAGCACGAAGGUUGGCUAAUCCUGGUCGGACAUCAGGAGGUUAGUGCAAUGGCAUAAGCCAGCUUGACUGCGAGCGUGACGGCGCGAGCAGGUGCGAAAGCAGGUCAUAGUGAUCCGGUGGUUCUGAAUGGAAGGGCCAUCGCUCAACGGAUAAAAGGUACUCCGGGGAUAACAGGCUGAUACCGCCCAAGAGUUCAUAUCGACGGCGGUGUUUGGCACCUCGAUGUCGGCUCAUCACAUCCUGGGGCUGAAGUAGGUCCCAAGGGUAUGGCUGUUCGCCAUUUAAAGUGGUACGCGAGCUGGGUUUAGAACGUCGUGAGACAGUUCGGUCCCUAUCUGCCGUGGGCGCUGGAGAACUGAGGGGGGCUGCUCCUAGUACGAGAGGACCGGAGUGGACGCAUCACUGGUGUUCGGGUUGUCAUGCCAAUGGCACUGCCCGGUAGCUAAAUGCGGAAGAGAUAAGUGCUGAAAGCAUCUAAGCACGAAACUUGCCCCGAGAUGAGUUCUCCCUGACCCUUUAAGGGUCCUGAAGGAACGUUGAAGACGACGACGUUGAUAGGCCGGGUGUGUAAGCGCAGCGAUGCGUUGAGCUAACCGGUACUAAUGAACCGUGAGGCUUAACCU